AACGAAUUGGAGGAGCCGCCUUUGUUAUCCGGUUGCCUAGGGCAACAGGUUGUAUACAUGCUCCAGUGUCUCGCCUAGAGGAAGCCCUGGGAACCAGUUUUUAGAAGCAUGAUGAUGGAGUGAAGAAGAAUCCACUUACCAAGUUUGCAAUAAUUGUCUGUCAUAGAGACCAACUUUGACAUGAAGUCGUCUCAGACCUUCCCAAUCCCAACUAAAUCUUCUGCUAAUCGGAAUCUGACUCCUGACAACACAGAAAGAGAUGCACCCUAUUCUUCCAUCCCUCUCAAAUACUAUGCCAAAGUGAUUUCCAACACCGAAA